AGAGUUUGAUCAUGGCUCAGAAUCAACGCUGGCGGCGUGCCUAACACAUGCAAGUCGAACGCGAAAGUCCCGCAAGGGGCGAGUAGAGUGGCAAACGGGUGAGUAACGCGUGGGCGACCUACCUUCGAGUGGGGGAUAACCUUCCGAAAGGAGGGCUAAUACCGCAUGACAUUCCAUGUUUGGAUACAUGGAUAUCAAAGCCGGGGAUCGCAAGACCUGGCGCUUGGAGAGGGGCCCGCGCCUGAUUAGCUAGUUGGUGAGGUAACGGCUCACCAAGGCGACGAUCAGUAUCCGGCCUGAGAGGGCGGACGGACACACUGGGACUGAGACACGGCCCAGACUCCUACGGGGGGCAGCAGUGGGGAAUUGUUCGCAAUGGGCGCAAGCCUGACGACGCAACGCCGCGUGGAGGAUGAAGAUCUUCGGGUCGUAAACUCCUGUCGAGCGGGAAGAACGUUUCGCGGAUGAAUAAGCCGCGGAAGUGACGGUACCGCUAAAGGAAGCCCCGGCUAACUCCGUGCCAGCAGCCGCGGUAAUAC
rnacentral:rRNA from 1 species